UACGGAGGAUCCGAGCGUUAUCCGGAUUUAUUGGGUUUAAAGGGUGCGUAGGCGGCCUGUUAAGUCAGGGGUGAAAUACGGUGGCUCAACCAUCGCAGUGCCUUUGAUACUGACGGGCUUGAAUCCAUAUGAAGUGGGCGGAAUAAGACAAGUAGCGGUGAAAUGCAUAGAUAUGUCUCAGAACUCCAAUUGCGAAGGCAGCUAUCUAAGUCAUGAUUGACGCUGAUGCACGAAAGCGUGGGGAUCGAACAGG
rnacentral:rRNA from 1 species